GACGAACGCUGGCGGCAGGCCUAACACAUGCAAGUCGAGCGGAGCGGCGGACGGGUGAGUAAUGCCUAGGAAUCUGCCUGGUAGUGGGGGAUAACGUCCGGAAACGGGCGCUAAUACCGCAUACUAUCAGAUCAGCCUAGGUCGGAUUAGCUAGUUGGUGGGGUAAAGGCCUACCAAGGCGACGAUCCGUAACUGGUCUGAGAGGCUGAUCAGUCAACAUGGGACUGGGAACAGGGCCCGACUCCCACGGGAGGAAGCAGUGGGGAAUAUUGGACAAUGGGGGGAAGCCCUGUCCAGCCAAGCCGCGUGAGUGAGGACGGCCUUCGGGUUGUAAAGCUCUGUGAAUCGGGAGACGGUACCGGAAGAGAAAGCAACGGCUAACUACGUGCCAGCAGCCGCGGUAAUUC
rnacentral:rRNA from 1 species